AGAGUUUGAUCCUGGCUCAGGAUGAACGCUGGCGGCGUGCUUAACACAUGCAAGUCGAGCGAAGCACUUACUUUGGAUUUCUUCGGAAUGACGAGGUAUUUGACUGAGCGGCGGACGGGUGAGUAACGCGUGGGCAACCUGCCUCACACAGGGGGAUAACAGUUAGAAAUGACUGCUAAUACCGCAUAAGACCACAGCACCGCAUGGUGCAGGGGUAAAAACUCCGGUGGUGUGAAAUGGGCCCGCGUCUGAUUAGGUAGUUGGUGCGGUAACGGCGCACCAAGCCGACGAUCAGUAGCCGACCUGAGAGGGCGACCGG
rnacentral:rRNA from 1 species